UCCUAGUUAACCUAGGCAGUCUCAUUAGAGUUCCCACCCUAAGUGUUGGCAACUAAUGAUAAGGGUUGCGCUCGUUGCGGGACUUAACCCAACACCUCACGGCACGAGCUGACGACAGCCAUGCAGCACCUAUAUAGCGGUCCUUGCGGAAGAUUUCAUUUCUGAAACUGUCCCCUACAUUUCGAGCCUGGGUAAGGUUCUUCGCGUUGCAUCGAAUUAAACCACAUGCUCCACUGCUUGUGCGGGCCCCCGUCAAUUCUUUUUAGUUUCACUCUUGCGAGCGUACUCCUAAGGCGGUAUACUUAUCGCGUUAGCUACGACACAGUCAGGGUUGAGCCCAACUAUAUCAAGUAUACAUCGUUUACGGCAAGGACUAC
rnacentral:misc_RNA from 1 species